rnacentral:lncRNA from 1 species
UACAUUUUGUCAAAUGGGGAUUCAAAGUAAUGAAAUAAUUAAAUCGGGCCCAAACAACAGAUAAUGAAAUGUAUGAGUGUAAGUGCAAGGGACAUGUCUCAUUGUAAGAAGGCCCAAGAGUAAGCCAUGUGAAGAAAAUAAAUAAAACAACAAGUUACAUUUACAACACACUUAAAAAAUUAAAUCGAAAAAAUGGUAAAAUCGAGAUUU